GAGGGGCUCGCGGCCUAUCAGCUAGUUGGCGGGGUAACGGCCCACCAAGGCUAUGACGGGUAGCUGGUCUGAGAGGACGACCAGCCACACGGGGACUGAGACACGGCCCCGACUCCUACGGGAGGCAGCAGUGGGGAAUUUUCCGCAAUGGGCGAAAGCCUGACGGAGUGACGCCGCGUGUGGGACGAAGGCCUUCGGGUCGUAAACCACUGUCAGUGGGAAAGAUGGGUGUCGGCGCGAUAACCGCCGGCAUCUGACGGUACCUACAGAGGAAGCCCCGGCCAACUCUGUGCCAGCAGCCGCGGUAAGACAGAGGGGGCAAGCGUUGCUCGGAAUUACUGGGCGUAAAGGGCGCGUAGGCGGGAUGGCAAGUCGGUCGUGAAAUCCUUCGGCUCAACCGAAGAACGUCGAUCGAUACCGCUGUUCUUGAGGAUUGCAGAGGAGACUGGAAUUCCCGGUGUAGCGGUGAAAUGUGUAGAGAUCGGGAGG
rnacentral:rRNA from 1 species